CCUACGGGCGGCUGCAGUGGGGAAUAUUGGACAAUGGGCGAAAGCCUGAUCCAGCCAUGCCGCGUGUGUGAAGAAGGCCUUCGGGUUGUAAAGCACUUUCAGUGGGGAAGAAAGCCUUGGGGCUAAUACCCUCGAGGAAGGACAUCACCCACAGAAGAAGCACCGGCUAACUCCGUGCCAGCAGCCGCGGUAAUACGGAGGGUGCGAGCGUUAAUCGGAAUUACUGGGCGUAAAGCGCGCGUAGGCGGUCUGAUAAGCCGGUUGUGAAAGCCCCGGGCUCAACCUGGGAACGGCAUCCGGAACUGUCAGGCUAGAGUGCAGGAGAGGAAGGUAGAAUUCCCGGUGUAGCGGUGAAAUGCGUAGAGAUCGGGAGGAAUACCAGUGGCGAAGGCGGCCUUCUGGACUGAAACUGACGCUGAGGUGCGAAAGCGUGGGUAGCAAACAGGAUUAGAUACCCUAGUAGUC
rnacentral:rRNA from 1 species